rnacentral:rRNA from 1 species
GACGUAGGGCGCGAGCGUUGUCCGGAUUUAUUGGGCGUAAAGAGCUCGUAGGCGGCUUGUUGCGUCGACCGUGAAAACCCGUGGCUUAACUGCGGGCUUGCGGUCGAUACGGGCGGGCUGGAGUUCGGUAGGGGAGACUGGAAUUCCUGGUGUAGCGGUGAAAUGCGCAGAUAUCAGGAGGAACACCAAUGGCGAAGGCAGCUCGCUGGGACGGUACUGACGCUGAGACGCGAAAGCGUGGGGAGCAAACAGG